GGUACCUAAGGCGUACCUAAACAUGCAAGUCGAGCGAACAGACGAGGAGCUUGCUCCUCUGUACGUUAGCGGCGAGACGGUGUGAGUAACACUGUGGUAUAACCUACUCUAUAACACUGGAUAUAUCUUCGGAGAAACCGGAGUCUUAUACCGAGUAUAAUAUAUGUGAACCGCGUGGUUCAUUAGUGAAGGACGGUUUUGCUGUCACUUAUAGAUGGAUCCGCGCCGCAUUAGCUAGUUGGUAAGGUAACGGCUUACCAAGGCAACGAUGCGUAGCCGACCUGAGAGGGUGAUCGGCCACACUGGAACUGAGACACGGUCCAGACUCCUACGGGAGGCAGCAGUAGGGAAUCUUCCGCAAUGGGCGAAAGCCUGACGGAGCAACGCCGCGUGAGUGAUGAAGGUCUUCGGAUCGUAAAACUCUGUUAUUAGGGAAGAACAAAUGUGUAAGUAACUAUGCACGUCUUGACGGUACCUAAUCAGAAAGCCACGGCUAACUACGUGCCAGCAGCCGCGGUAAUACGUAGGUGGCAAGCGUUAUCCGGAAUUAUUGGGCGUAAAGCGCGCGUAGGCGGUUUUUUAAGUCUGAUGUGAAAGCCCACGGCUCAACCGUGGAGGGUCAUUGGAAACUGGAAAACUUGAGUGCAGAAGAAGAAAGUGGAAUUCCAUGUGUAGCGGUGAAAUGCGCAGAGAUAUGGAGGAACACCAGUGGCCAAGGCGACUUUCUGGUCUGUAACUGACGCUGAUGUGCGAAAGCGUGGGGAUCAAACAGGAUUAGAUACCCUGGUAGUCCC
rnacentral:rRNA from 1 species